rnacentral:sRNA from 1 species
CCCCACGGGGANNGGGGAAGGAUGAGAAGCUUCGACUAAGGUUCGACUCGAGCGAAGCGAGAGAACGUUGCCGCAGGCAACGGCCCGAAGGGCGAGGCGCUUUAGCGCCGAGUAAUCCUUCCCCCACCACCA